rnacentral:rRNA from 1 species
UACGGGGGGGGCAAGCGUUGUUCGGAAUUACUGGGCGUAAAGGGCUCGUAGGUGGCCAACUAAGUCAGACGUGAAAUCCCCAGGCUCAACUUGGGAACUGCGUCUGAUACUGGAUGGCUUGAAUUCGGGAAAGGGAUGCAGAAUUCCAGGUGUAGCGGUGAAAUGCGUAGAUAUCUGGAGGAAUACCGGUGGCGAAGGCGGCAUCCUGGACCGAGAUUGACACUGAUGAGCGAAAGCUAGGGGAGCAAACGGG